AAUGAACGCUAGCGGCAGGCUUAAUACAUGCAAGUCGAGGGGCAGCAUGAUUGUAGCAAUACAAUUGAUGGCGAUCGGCAAACGGGUGCGGAACACGUACACAACCUCCCAAUAAGUGGGGAAUAGCCCAGAGAAAUUUGGAUUAAUACCCCGUAACAUAACGAUGUGGCAUCACAUUGUUAUUAUAGAUUUUUCGCUUAUUGAUGGGUGUGCGGCUGAUUAGAUAGUUGGCGGGGUAACGGCCCACCAAGUCUACGAUCAGUAGCUGAUGUGAGAGCAUGAUCAGCCACACGGGCACUGAGACACGGGCCCGACUCCUACGGGAGGCAGCAGUAAGGAAUAUUGGACAAUGGACGCAAGUCUGAUCCAGCCAUGCCGCGUGAAGGAUUAAGGUCCUCUGGAUUGUAAACUUCUUUUAUAAGGGACGAAAAAAGGCUUUUCUAAGUCGUCUGACGGUACCUUAUGAAUAAGCACCGGCUAACUCCGUGCCAGCCGCCGCGGUAAGAC
rnacentral:rRNA from 1 species